rnacentral:rRNA from 1 species
UACGGGGGGGGUAAGCGUUGUUCGGAAUUACUGGGCGUAAAGGGCUCGUAGGCGGCCAACUAAGUCAGACGUGAAAUCCCUCAGCUUAACUGGGGAACUGCGUCUGAUACUGGAUGGCUUGGAUUCGGGAGAGGAAUGCGGAAUUCCAGGUGUAGCGGUGAAAUGCGCAGAUAUCAGGAGGAACACCGGUGGCGAAGGCGGGUCUCUGGGCCGUAACUGACGCUGAGGAGCGAAAGCAUGGGGAGCGAACAGG